UUUUCCUUAAAGCAAAAUGGGCUCAGUGCGUCCCGUGUGUCUGUAAUUCGGACACUUGAGAUGGAGAAGCAGGAGAGCACUAUGAUUUAGAGGGCAGCCUAGGCUACGUGAGACAAGGUGCAUGGUGGGAAAAUGGCUCAGUCAGCAAAGCACGUGCCUUGCAAUGAUGAGAACCUGAAUUCAAUCCCCAGGAUCCGUGGGGAAUCCCAGGAAGAGUGGAUCAAGGCACACACGUCUACCAUCCCAGUGUUAGGAAGGUGGAGGAGGAGGAAAGAACAGCUAGCCUUGCCUACAUGGGCAAUUCCAGCCUAGUGAGAGGGCAAGUCAAAAGGAGGAAGGCCAAGAGCUGACUCCAGAGCUAAGGGCUCCUGCAGGCUACAUGUUUGGUUUUCAGACAGCUCACAGCCACCUGCAGCUCCAGUUCCUGGAACACACAUAGCGUGUGCGCAUGCAUACACACAGACACAGUAGUCUUACAGAACAAGGGGUGCACGUGGGAGGCAGGUAAACUGCUUGUGAGUUCAGGUCAGACUGUCUACGUGGAACAUUCCAGGCCAGCCAGGAAGGACUACAUAGAGAAACCCUGUCCCAAAAUGCAAACAAAACAAACAAAAAAGAACCAAAUCUUUUAAAAAGAAAAGAGAAAUUGUCAUGCAAAUGUUCCAAACUGGAACAGAGCCAUCGUGAAGUGGGGCCAUGUGAACAUGAACCGGGAACUAAGCACUGUGACUGACAGUUAGUGCUAUGGCAGUGUUGGUUGUAUAACAAUCCUUAUCUGUUAGAAAUAAGGACUCAAAUAUUUAUGUGAAAGUAGCACAACAGCCGGCACUGUAUAAACGACUCUCGAGAGAAAGGGAGAAAGCGCCGCCAACACUGGCCUGCCCUCACAGAGCUGUUGAAGCUCAGUGAUGGAUGCAUGGGAGUUCCUAACAUCAACUGCUGUGGAAAAGACGGAAAACAAACUCCCACAAGAAUGUCAACGGGGUCCUGGCAGGCCACGGGCCUAUUGGACACCAAGAGCUUUCCCAAAGUAGCCAAGACAAUUGGUUCCAGAUGAAUUCUGUCAGGGAACUGGAGCCAAACGGUCGCCAAACUUUGGAAUUUUAUUUUCAAGAGAAAUUGGUAUCCAGGAUGUUUAGAUGGAAUUAAUUGUACAAUAAAAUGACUUUUCCAAAACAAAGCUCAAGCCAAAGAAAACAAACAUGUUUUCUGGUUGAGGUGCCCAUAGAGUGUAAACCUGAGACCUUUGUUGGAGUAAUGGGGGCAACUGAUUGGUGGGGGGCACACCAGAAUCCAAGGCGUGGUGACAGGCCCAGCUCUUUCAUUUUUUGAGACUGCUUAGCUGAUUUGGAACUUGUAACUCUCCUGCCUUGGCCUUCCACAUGCUGGGAUUACUGGUUUGCCCACCAUAUCCAAACUCCUUUAAGCUCUGUGUACUAUGGACAAAAUUACUUCCCUCAUUAGCCUUGUGUUCUGUCACUAAAAGAACAGAAAUAAUCCCCUCUCUGACGUUCUGAGGAUUAAGUAAAAUCGUACUUAGCAGAGGUUGGCACAGUCCAUCUAUCAAUCCCAGCCUUCAGUCUAUUAUUGCUACUUAGAGGCACACUGCCUCUAACCAGCUUCCAGCUGGGGUCUCUGAAUUGUCCCAAAUCCUCUCACCUGGAUCUAUAGUUUUAGUUACUCCAACAGUCCAGUACCUUUUAACUGGCAUCUCCCUGGUUGGAGUCUCCACUGCAAUUGUCUGUCCAGGCAACACUAGGCUCCAUCUCAUUAUGAUGGAUUCGUAGCAUCCCUGUCAGCAGAGUCCAGAAUCUAUCCUAUCCUUUUUUUGUUUGUUUGAUUUUUUUGUUUUUUUGAGACAGGGUUUCUCUGUGUAGCCCUGGCUGUCCUGGAACUCACUCUGUAGACCAGGCUGGCCUCGAACUCAGAAAUCCACCUGCCUCUGCCUCCUCCCAAGUGCUGGGAUUAAAGAUGUGCGUCACCACUGCCAGCGGGAUCCGACUCUUUUUUUUUUUUUUUAAAGAUUUUAUUUAUUUAUUAUAUAUAGGUACACUGUCGCUGUCUUCAGACACUCCAGAAGAGGGAGUCAGAUUUUGUUACGGAUGGUUGUGAGCCACCAUGUGGUUGCUGGGAUUUGAACUCCGGACCUUCGGAAGAGCAGUCGGGUGCUCUUACCCACUGAGCCAUCUCACCAGCCCGGGAUCCGACUCUUAACCAGCAUCUUGGUGACAUCUCUUGAUGAACCAGUCUGCCUCCAUCUUAGGCUUGAAAGCCUCUUAAAGACAAACUAGCUUCUUUCCUGUUUCUGAUUAAACCUGUUUCUCAAGAUUGGGUUAUGUCCCACCUGUAACCUUAAGUACAAAUGGUUCUGCACUGCCUGUUCCAGAAAACUUCAACCAUGUCUUGGUUUUAAAAAGAUAUAUAUUUUUAAAAGAUUUAUUUAUUAUUUAUUAUAUGUAAGUACACUGUAGCUGUCUUCAGACACUCCAGAAGAGGGCAUCAUAUCUCGUUAUAGGAUGGUUGUGAGCCACCAUGUGGUUGCUGGGAUUUGAACUCUGGACCUUUGGAAGAGCAGUCGGGUGCUCUUACCUACUGAGCCAUCUCACCAGCCCUUAAAAAGAUAUUAUAAUUGUUUUGCAACCCUACCUUUGUUUCAAAAGGUUGUUAUGGCUACCAUUUUAGGAACACCUUGCAAUAAUGUCUUUACUACAGAAGGUUAUUAUAAUGUGUAUGUUCUGCUCCUGUAACCUCAACUAUUUUGGUGGCCAAAUCCCCCUAUCCACAAACUAUAUAUAAAAACCUUGUCUUUCUCACAUCCAGGACUGACUUCUAGAACCAAAGCUUAUUGGGGAGGCAGCUUGUGUCCUCAAAAAAAAGCUAGCUUAAUUAAUUACUUGCUUAAAUUACUUUGGCCGUGAUGAUUUCGGGUCAGUGAUCUUUCUCCUUGUAUCUUUGGGAUCAACACUCUAAACUUUAUAGAGUGUUUUAUGCUGUCCCUCCAAAGCUGGAGUCCUUUUGUAGUGUGGUGACUCCUCUUAAGAGUCUAAAGACUCUACAACCUCCUAAUACCUGCUUGGAUGCUGGAAGAAUUUCUGGGACCCUGGGCAUUCUGAUUGGUCCUUGGUUUUAAAGAAAAUCCCAGGAACCCUACCACAUUCCGAUGAGGCUGCAAGAGGGUUCUGGAGCCUUGGGCCAGGAGGCUCUAAAGGAAUAAUAUAAAUGAAGUACGAAAACAGGAAAAUCUCCCAAAGAAAUCCACUAAACUUGGGAGGGGGAGAGGGAGAAUGAGAAUAGGAUGGGCUAGGAGGGUCAAGAGAACUCAGAUGACGUUCGAAGGGGCAGGAGAUCACAGAGCACCGUAAGGAUAUUGAAACAAGGGGAGCAGUCAUAGCAAGUUUUGGACGAACUUGGGGUUCUAAACGAACUUGAGGUUCUAAACGUUCCCGCGAGCCUCCAAAGUGCCGGGGGCCACAAGGAACCACGAUCUAGCAAGGUGAAGACUCAGGAGGACCGCGAGAGGUAUGGGGAUUUAGUGACCACCCGUUCCUGAAGGGUCCUGGGGAAACACUACGGCGGCGUUCGGGACCGUAAACGAAAACCGCGAGGACAACCAUCGCCGCCCACCGCCAGCCGCCCAGCCCAGGCUUCCGCACUGUAGGGGAAAUCACGCGCUCAGAGGGGCGGGGCUUCCGAGAAGGCCGCAGUGGAUGACGGGAGCCCGCGCGCCCCAAGCGGCCGAGAGGACUCGGAGGCAGCAGCGGCCGCGGGGCAAGCCCUCACCAGUGCGCAUGCGUGGCUCUCCGGCACCGGUCCGUACUCCAGCGUCGUGAAAAUCUCCCGGGUACUGGGCUGUACACGCGUAGCCGCCAUCGCUCUCCCGGAGCCUUCCGCGAGGGAUUGCUGGACGGUCUACCUAGAGGAACUUGGAGGGCCAUGGCGGACUCGACGUUUUUGGCACCAGAACUAAGCGACACAGAGUCGAUGGGUGAAGAGACGGUGCGGUUUCAGGAGCUGCUGCUGAAGGCUUCCAAAGAGCUCCAGCAAGCCCAGACAGCCAGGCCAGACUCUACACAGAUCCAGCCAAAGCCUGGUUUCUGUGUGAAGACCAACUCAUCGGAAGGAAAGGUUUUCAUCAACAUCUGCCACUCUCCCUCCAUCCCUCCCCCGGCCGACGUGACUGAGGACGAGCUGCUGCAGAUGCUGGAGGAGGACCAGGCUGGCUUCCGAAUCCCCAUGAGCCUGGGAGAGCCGCACGCGGAGCUGGAUGCAAAAGGCCAGGGCUGUACUGCCUAUGACGUCGCUGUCAAUAGCAACUUCUACCUGAGGAUGCAGAACAGUGAUUUCUUGCGGGAACUGGUGGUCACCAUCGCCAGGGAGGGCCUUGAGGACAAGUAUGGCCUACAGCUAAAUCCUGAAUGGCGCAUGUUGAAGUACCGGUCUUUCCUGGGCUCCAUCUCACAGCAGAACAUCCGUUCUCAGCAGCGACCUCGGAUCCAGGAGCUGGGGACCCUGGAUGCCAGUGGCUCACUGGGAACCUGUCAUGGCCCAGAACGGCCUCACCUGAACCUUUGGUUGGAAGCCCCUGACCUGCUCUUGGCUGAAGUUGACCUUCCUAAACUGGACCUUGUGGACAUAGCUUGUGGACAGUGCUAAGGGAUAUGGGCUGACUGUACCUCAUCACCAGGACGGCGCACAAGGGCUGGCACUGGAAAUAGGAGAGAACCGCCUGGUGAUAGGAGGCCCCCAGCAACUGUAUCAUCUGGAUGCCACUGUUCCCCUGAGGAUCAACAGUGAGGCAAGCAGGGCUGCUUUUCACCGCAGGAGGAAGCAACUGAUGGUGUCCAUGCCCCUCCUGACAGCGUCUUCUUGACCAGAGUGCCCUGGUUUUCCAGAUGUGGAGAAGAUGUUGGUGUCUUCUCUAAGUGAAAUAAACAGGUUUCCAGUUC